CCUACGGGUGGCUGCAGUGGGGAAUAUUGGACAAUGGGCGCAAGCCUGAUCCAGCAAUGCCGCGUGAGUGAUGAAGGCCUUCGGGUCGUAAAGCUCUUUUACCAGGGAUGAUAAUGACAGUACCUGGAGAAUAAGCUCCGGCUAACUCCGUGCCAGCAGCCGCGGUAAUACGGAGGGAGCUAGCGUUGUUCGGAAUUACUGGGCGUAAAGAGUACGUAGGCGGCUAUUCAAGUCAGAGGUGAAAGCCCGGGGCUCAACCCCGGAACUGCCUUUGAAACUAGGUAGCUAGAAUCUUGGAGAGGUCAGUGGAAUUCCGAGUGUAGAGGUGAAAUUCGUAGAUAUUCGGAAGAACACCAGUGGCGAAGGCGACUGACUGGACAAGUAUUGACGCUGAGGUACGAAAGCGUGGGGAGCAAACAGGAUUAGAUACCCCAGUAGUC
rnacentral:rRNA from 1 species